rnacentral:rRNA from 1 species
AUUGAACGCUGGCGGCAGGCCUAACACAUGCAAGUCGAGCGAGCGGCGGACGGGUGAGUAAUGUCUGGGAAACUGCCUGAUGGAGGGGGAUAACUACUGGAAACGGUAGCUAAUACCGCAUACCAUCAGAUGUGCCCAGAUGGGAUUAGCUAGUAGGUGGGGAAACGGCUCACCUAGGCGACGAUCCCUAGCUGGUCUGAGAGGAUGACCAGCCAAACUGGAAUUGAUACACGGUCCGAACUCCUACGUGAGGCAGCGGGGGGAAUAGUGCACAAGUGGCGCAAGCCUGAUGCAGCCAUGCCGCGUGUGUGAAGAAGGCCUUCGGGUUGUAAAGCACUUUCAGCGGGGAGGCGUUACCCGCAGAAGAAGCACCGGCUAACUCCGGGCCAGCCGCCGCGGUAAUAC